rnacentral:piRNA from 1 species
UACGUUUUCUGGUGGAAGCAUUUCUCCUC